UGACUUUGAAGUGAUUCAUCUCUUCCUCAAUACACUUCAUGAAGGGAUGAAGAAAUUGCUGUUAGACUGAGUUUUAAACUGCUUCUGGGAACCUGGAUUUCUUUGAAGAUCUUUAUCAAGGUUUUUCUCAAUGGAAAUAUUACCAGGGAGGGCAAACUUUCCUGAAACAAAACCUGUCAUGAUACUGUGCUACCUCUACUUUAUCUCUGUAUCACAGCAACAAUACUGCUAAAAUCACAGUGGAGUGACAUCAGUGGCUGAAAUGUAGGUUCAAUGAAGAUUGCUUUGAAAUCUGAGGAGCUCCUGGGCAAGACACUUAAGCCAUGGACUGAUUUCUCUCUCAGACCCACAAUUGAAGCUCCUUCCUUGGAGGCUUUUAAACAGAGACUGGAUGGCCAUCUCUUGAGGGUGCUUUUUCUGCAUGGCAGGGGGCUGGACUGGAUAGCUCAUGUGGUCUCUUCCAACUCUAUGAUUCUAAUGUUAUUGUGGAUUGGAUUGUAGACAGUUUAAGACUCCAAAUCCAGCAGUGGUUUCCUGUUUAUAUAUGGACAUGGGCCUAUAAUCUGAGCCAGUCACAAAAGAAUCGGAAUACAUAACUGAAACAGAAGCGUGCAAGGAAUUAAAGAGGUUUAACUUGUCACUGCCAGACUCUGGAAAAAAGGAAACCCAAACAAAUUCAGCUCAUUGAAGAAAACCAGAGCCCUCAUCUCCUCAUGGACAUGACCAGUAACAAGACUAGCUGUUGCUUUAUCAAAAUAGUGGGAGCUUUUGGGUUCAAAUUAGUAUAUUCCUUCCUGCACUGCAACUGAGCCUGUCUCUCUACACACGAAUGAGGUUGUGAGCAAAUUACUUUACAUACGGUUCUAUAACAGACUUUGGUUCCUUCAUCUUUGUUCUAUAUGGCUGUUGUGAGUGACAGAUGGCUAUUUACUGCCUAAUUCCAUUUAUCAUAAAAUAUUCUGCUACAGAAAUAAUAGGAAACAUCUAUCAGAUUCCCAAUAAACAGGCCUUUCUGGUUGGUUAAUGUUCAGCUCAGUGGGUUUCAGGCUUGCUUAGAUAGCAGCACUCCAUCCAAAAACAGACAACAAGGUGCAUUACUCAGCAACAUGCAAAAUUCUCCCGAUUCUAUCAGCUUCACAAGCGGCAAUGCUUCAACCUUACAAACCACACCCUGGCAUUGCUGAAUUUAUCUUACAAGAGAUCUUUCAGUAACACAGCUCUGUGAGGUUUGUUUUUGUUUUGACUCCUCUUAAAAGAGAACAAUUCUUUCUUGCAUUGUCUAUUAUUUAAUGUGGUUUGGUGGGGGGGGGGGGGGAACACUUACUCUGUAACAGGUUGUAAGGACAUUCUGCUCUAGACUUUGAUUCAAAGGCAAAGCUUAGUCAGUUAGCCCCAGCCUUAGGUUUAUUGCUCUUUUGAUAUUUCACUAUCCUGAUUAGGUAUUUCUAAUAUUGGCCACAAUAACAGAAAAGCCUUCAAUCAAAAUUAGAUUGACCUAAUUCAAUGACAGCAAGGAAGUGGUUCAGAGUGAAGAGGUGGAAGUCACGUUCAUAAGGUCUUGAUUCUGAUUAAAUGUAGCCCCAUUUGGACAUGGCAUAGGGUUUGCAUCUCCUCUAGCUUCAGGCCAUACUUUUGUAGGGAUUUCUAACCCACAGUUCUUUUAAAUCUUUUCUAGAAGUAGGAAGAAAGAAAGAUAUAUUCCUUACUAAGAGAUGCAUAUUUGUUCCCCAAACGAUCCAAUCUGUAUCUUUAUCUUUGAUGGGACCAAGCAAUGUGGGAUAAAGAAAGCAUGAGUGAUUCUUCCUUUCCCCCUCUUUCUAGAAAUGAAGGCCUUAUAUAAUUUUGUUGGCCUAUAGCAAAAAAUCAAAAUAUCCAAGUGAAGGCUCAGAUCUUGCAAAUGAUUGCAAAUUGAAUAUCAUUUGUUUCUCACGCACAUGAUUCUCCAUUUUACUCAGCUGCCAGCCCUUUGCUCCCUGAGCUGGAGCAGCUUAUUAAAACCUUAUUUAGAGAGGACCAAUACUUCAAGUCCUGAUAAGUUUUUGAACACACUGUAUUGUGCCUCCUCUGGAUGGUAACAUGUCUACAGGUAGAAUCAGCUUUGUUUUACCAACAUUAGAUUAACCUAGAUCUUAAACAUUGAUUCUAAAAGCAGGUAAUUUACUUUCCAAAAGCUUAGGUUCACUCUGAAAAAACUGGCAGUGGAUGAGACUAAAGAAGAUAUCACAUUCCUGGGAGAUCCCAUUAUUCAUGGUGUAGAAUCAAAAUCCUAAUUUGUUUUAUUAUGCAAUGUUGCUUCACUUAGUAGGGUGCCAUAAACAGCAUUUACUUCAAAUCAUAUACCCUUGGACUUCCUUUUUUGGCCAUUUUUAAAAUAUUUGUUGCCAACAUGUCCAUAUUUUAGUGUCAUCCUUAUCUGUACCACUUUUCUCCUUCCUUACUCAAUUAUUGGCUAUGACGGCCAUGUGAGCUUGUUUUGUUUAUUAUCCAUCUAUGCUUUUGUGGUAAUUUCCUGUGAUAGAUGUGCCAAUUCAAGAGGGAAAUUGAAAAGAUUCACAGAACCCUUGCUCAAAGGUGGGAAAUGGUGGCCUUCUACAUGCUGUUGGACUGUGAGUCUCAUCUUCCACCAUUGGCUAUGAUAGCCAGGGCUUAUGAGAGCCAUAGUAAUCCAGCAGCAUCUACGGAACCACAGUUGCCCACACCUCUAGUUAAUAUUUCCUCUUCAUUGCCCCAAGGAAAACUGUACAUUGGAAAGGUACAUUCAUUCUAAAGCAUUCUAUACUUUCUAAUAAUAACAAGUCUCCAAACACCAUGGAAAGGGAUACUUACAUGAAGUUUGUACACUUGGCAACUAUUAACUAACUCUUGAAUGAAGGGAUGCUUCAAGAGGAGUGAUACUUUGAUUGGCUGCAAAUCUUCAGAGCCAAGAUCCUUGUAUACCUUAAUGAAGUUCUUUAAAGAGAAAAACAAAUGACUUACUUUAAUAAGGAAAUGAAACAAUUUAAAAGCAACAGACAUGCUGUUACAAAAGACAUAAAUGAACAAUCUUUAUGGCCUGAGGGUAUAGACCAGGGGUCCCCAAACUAAGGCCCGGGGGCCGGAUGCGGCCCUCCAAGGUCAUUGACCUGGCCCCCGCCCUCAGUUUUAUAAUAUAAUAUUUUUAUAUCAGUUUUAAUAAUAUAAUAUAUUGUAUAUACAUAUAAUAUUGAUAAUAAUCUUAUGUUAUACAAUAUAAUACUAAUAGCAAUACCAUAUAAUAAUAUUAAUUGUAUGUUAUAUAUUACAUAUUAUAUAAUAGUAUAGUGGUAUAGUUCAAUACAGUAAUAUAUAAUGCUAAUAUUGUGUUAUGCUAAUAAUAUAAUAUAUUGUAUGUACAUACAGCUGCUCUGAGUCCCCUUCAGGGUGAGAAGGGUGGGAUAUAAAUGUAGUAAAUAAAUGCAGUAAAUAAAUAAUCAAUUUUAGACUUAGGCUCGGCCAAAGUCUGACAUGACUUGAAGGCACACAACAACAACAACAACAACAACAACAACAACAACAACCCUAAUUAACUUGACUAUCUCAUUGGCCAGUAGCAGGCCCACACUUUCCAUUGAAAUCCUAAUAGGUUUAUGUUGGUUAAAAUUGUUUUCAUUUUUUAAUAUUGUAUUGUUCUUUCGUUGUUGUUGUUGUUGCACUACAAAUAAGAUAUGUGCAGUAUGCAUAGGAAUUUACCUGGCCCCUGCCCUCAGUUUUAUAAUAUAAUAUUUUUAUAUCAGUUUUAAUAAUAUAAUAUAUUGUAUAUACAUAUAAUAUUGAUAACUAUCUUAUGUUAUACAAUAUAAUACUAAUAGUAAUGCCAUAUAAUAAUAUUAAUUAUAUGUUAUAUAUAUUACAUAUUAUAUAAUAGUAUAGUGGUAUAGUUCAUUCAAUAUAGUAAUAUAUAAUGCUAAUAUUGUGUUAUGCUAAUAAUAUAUUGUAUGUACAUACAGCUUCUCUGAGUCCCCUUCGGGGUGAGAAGGGCGGGAUAUAAAUGUAGUAAAUAAAUGCAGUAAAUAAAUAAUUAAUUUUAGACUCAGGCUCGGCCAAAGUCUGACAUGACUUGAAGGCACACAACAACAACAACAAUCCUAAUUAACUAGACUAUCUCAUUGGCCAGUAGCAGGUCCACACUUUCCAUUGAAAUCCUGAUAGGUUUAUGCUGGAUAAAAUUGUUUUCAUUUUUAAAUAUUGUAUUGUUCCUUCAUUGUUGUUGUUGUUGUUGUUGCACUACAAAUAAGAUAUGUGCAGUAUGCAAAGGAAUUUGUUUCUAUUUUUUUUUUCAAAUGAUAAUUCGGCCCCUCAACAGUCUGAAGGAUUGUGGACCGGCCCUCGGCUUAAAAAGUUUGGGGACCCCUGGUAUAGACAAUAGCUUGGUACAAAACUAACCUCUCUUUCUUUUACUUUUACAGCAGUUAGUAAUGCAUAACACAAUAAAAUUCCCAUAUUUCACCAUACUGAUUUUCACUUUCUCUCUCACACAUAAUAUCAGAGCUAAAACUUCCAGAAAUUCAGUAGCUAUGUUGUCUGGGGAACUCUAGGGUUUCAGUUUAUCUCCUUUGGAAGACUUGGUCUGAAAAGGGAAUACAGCAUGGCCCCCACACCUAUGGAACUGAGAGCGACAGUUUUACCAUCUGCAUCUGACAAAAUAUGGAACCUCUAGGGAUUUUCUAAAUCCUCCAGGUGAUACUAUGGUAUGCUUCUGUUGCAAGUUACCACAUAGUUACUCUGCAGAACCUGGAAAAUUCUAUGAGAGGAUCCUUCUCUAGGGAUUUUCUAGGUCCUUACAAGAUGUCCCUAUGAUAACUUCCAAAGGAACUUGUUCAUUUCAAUAGGAUUCACUGUUAUCCUUACUUUCCUGUUUCCACAGUAAGUUCAGGAAAGUAUCCCUCAUAGAUAUGGGGAUCCUACUCUAUACAAUUAUUUUAAAUAAAUUGAAUACAUCUAUCUUCAACUGAGAUAUGGCUCAUAGUUUUACUGAUAAAGAAAAUAAGUCAGCUGUCAGUUUUAGUAGCAUUAUUUCUGCAGCUCCUCCAGGUUUUAUGGUGCUAUCUUGGUCCUGAAAAAUAGUGUCAGCAUCUGGACAGUUCACUAAUAUCCUGGAGCAGUGGCAGAACUAUUAAAACUGAGGGUGAAUUCCACAUUCUGUAGUAAUGGAUUGGAGACACUAGAGGCUUUUGGAUCCAAUUAUAUCCAAGUAAUCUUCAAAACUUUAUUACAAGUAGUACAUGCUUUGUGAGCAGGAAGAUCUAGGUUCAAUACUCAGUAUUUGCAGGUAGAGAUGGGAAAGGAACCUGCCAGAAAUUCUGGAGAGCUACUACCAGUCAAAAGUACUGAGUUAGAUGGAACAAUGGUCAGAUUCAAUAUAAGAUCGGUUCCCAAGUUCCAAAAGUUAUGCAAGUACUGUUGACUAGUUAACUAACCUCAUAAUUGUCCUUUGGCACCAAAUGGUUAGUGAAUCUGUGGUUGUCAGCAGCUUUGUUUGUUUCAUAAUUGAACACUCUAAGCAGUGUAUCCAAAGAUAUUUCUCCUUCGCUGGCGAAAGAAUGAGCCUCAUCCUCUUUCUCCUUCUCAUCUUCCUCCUCUUCACCUUCUUCACCACCCUCCUCCUCCUCUGGCUCAUCAUGGGCAGAAGUUGUAAUCAGCCGUUCAGCAGAAGGAGUGAACUGGGGAAGAGGAGCACAUAGUAUCACAGCAGUUUCUGGAUUGCUUACCAAAUGAUUAAGGUGGAUAUCUCAUACCACCAGCCAGAGCACUCCUAUUAGUCCAGUUUGAAAGAUACAGUGUAAUAAACAAGUUUUACUGCUUCAGAAAAGCUCCUAGUAGAUGCCUGUUUACUUUUGGGGAAACCGAUUCUAAUUUAAUGACUAUUGUUUUUGCUCCAUCCCUCAUCCAUCAUGAUGGGUAGCUAUGCUGGUUGAUGCAUUCUGGGGAUGCAGCCUCUAAAAUAGGCAUGAGCUUAUGAGGAAAAAGAAGGGGCCUGAGGCUGUUAGGAAUUGUGGGAGUUGAAGUCCAAAACAUCUGGAGGGCCUAUGUUUGCCCAUGCCUGCUCUAAAAGCAACAUUUCCAAGCUCUGUUGUACUCCCAUGUCAACUUUCUCUCUGUGUAAAUGCUAUAACCCUCCAGUGCUAUGAAGGAAACUUAGUAAAGCCAGGAAACUGUUAACAAUCUCUUUUUAACAUAAAGGCAAUACAAUUCUGUCCCUAUUAUUCAUACUUCUUCCUCCUUUUCUCUAUGAGACCUUUGCAUGUAAGUUUAUUAGAAGUGCAGAGAUUCCUAAAGCUUUUAAUGCUAAUAACAUGGAACUUUUUAAAAAAAAAUUUGGUGGCUCGGGGAGCUUCAUCACUUAACCAGGCAUGUUUGGUUUUUCUGAGAAGAAACACAAGAACUGUCAUUUUGCAAUGCUAAUGAGAAAUCAGAUGCAAUAUGAUUAACCUGAUCCCAAAAAGUGGAUGCUUCCAGGCCCUUCUUGUAAAUGCAUCUUUGGUGAAGAACAUGGUGUUACAUUCUGUUAUUACUUAUAUAUCAUCAUUUUUUCACAUAAUAGUAAAAUAACAUAAUAGGAAAAUGCUCUAAAGACAGCAGUUAAAUCAGAAAUUAUGCAUACUAUUAUCUAUAACAGGGGUCCCCAAACUUUUUAAACAGGGGGCCAGUUCACGGUCCCUCAGACCAUUGGGGGGCCAGUCUAUAGUUUGUUUGUUUU